UGAGGCAUAGCCUGUCAUGACAGACAGUCCUAGUCAACAGCAAUACUCAAACUGAACAGGAUGUGUUCAUGGCUCUGGCUGUAAGCAGACAUACUCUAAAAAGAGAUAGGUUUAACACACAAGGGAAGGGCUACAAGGAAAGAAUGCCUGAGAGGCCUUCAGAGGGGAAAACUGACAAGCUUCAGACACCUCAAACCGGGUGUGGACUGCAGGAGCAGUAAACAGGCUGCCGAUUGCGUCACCUGACUUGACAGAUGUGUACUCCAAUCAAGUUGAAGAAACAUCUCAAGGAUGAUCAAUGGAAACAAGAUGCACCUGAGCUCAAUCUCGCCUCUUAUAGCAAAGGGUCUGAAUCCUUAAGUGCAUGGUGUACCUCGGCAGACCCGGGCGGACAAGGCUGAGCGGCCGGGUGACCCAUGGUUGUCGCAGUGGACCACCCACAUCGCUUGCACCAGAGGAUGAAAAUUCUCUGGUGCAGUACUGUAUCUACCAAAAAACAAAACAAACAUU